UGUCUCAGUACAAGCCACAUUAAGGUGAAACCGCGAAAGGCUCAUUAAAUCAGUUAUGGUUCCUUAGAUCGUACCCACACUUACUUGGAUAACUGUGGUAAUUCUAGAGCUAAUACAUGCAAACAGAGCUCCGACCGGAGACGGAAGGAGUGCUUUUAUUAGAUCAAAACCAAUCGGUGGCGGGUUCGCGCUCGUCAUCGUCCAACUUGGUGACUCUGAAUAACUUUACGCUGAUCGCACGGUCUUCGCACCGGCGACGCAUCUUUCAAAUGUCUGCCUUAUCAACUGUCGAUGGUAGGUUCUGCGCCUACCAUGGUUGUAACGGGUAACGGGGAAUCAGGGUUCGAUUCCGGAGAGGGAGCCUGAGAAACGGCUACCACAUCCAAGGAAGGCAGCAGGCGCGCAAAUUACCCACUCCCGGCACGGGGAGGUAGUGACGAAAAAUAACGAUACGGGACUCAUCCGAGGCCCCGUAAUCGGAAUGAGUACACUCUAAACCCUUUAACGAGGAUCAAUUGGAGGGCAAGUCUGGUGCCAGCAGCCGCGGUAAUUCCAGCUCCAAUAGCGUAUAUUAAAGUUGUUGCGGUUAAAAAGCUCGUAGUCGAAUUUGUGUCUAGCGCCGCCGGUUCAUCGUUCGCGGUGUCAACUGGCGUGUCGCGAGACGUCCUGUCGGUGGGCUUAGCUCGCAAGGGCGGCCCAACUCAAUCCUGCCGCGGUGCUCUUCGUUGAGUGUCGAGGUGGGCCGACACGUUUACUUUGAACAAAUUAGAGUGCUUAAAGCAGGCUAAAACUUCGCCUGAAUACUGUGUGCAUGGAAUAAUGGAAUAGGACCUCGUUUCUAUUUUGUUGGUUUUCGGAACUCCGAGGUAAUGAUUAAUAGGAACGGAUGGGGGCAUUCGUAUUGCGACGUUAGAGGUGAAAUUCUUGGAUCGUCGCAAGACGGACAGAAGCGAAAGCAUUUGCCAAAAACGCUUUCAUUGAUCAAGAACGAAAGUUAGAGGUUCGAAGGCGAUCAGAUACCGCCCUAGUUCUAACCUUAAACGAUGCCAGCUAGCGAUCCGUCGAAGUUCCUCCGAUGACUCGACGGGCAGCUUCCGGGAAACCAAAGCUUUUGGGUUCCGGGGGAAGUAUGGUUGCAAAGCUGAAACUUAAAGGAAUUGACGGAAGGGCACCACCAGGAGUGGAGCCUGCGGCUUAAUUUGACUCAACACGGGAAACCUCACCAGGCCCGGACACCGGAAGGAUUGACAGAUUGAGAGCUCUUUCUUGAUUCGGUGGGUGGUGGUGCAUGGCCGUUCUUAGUUGGUGGAGCGAUUUGUCUGGUUAAUUCCGAUAACGAACGAGACUCUAGCCUGCUAACUAGGCGUAUUUUGACAUCCUAAAGGCCCGCCGGCUCGGGGUUCGCCUCGUAGUCGUGCGCGGUUUUUACUGUCGGCGUACAAACAAAUCUUCUUAGAGGGACAGGCGGCUUCUAGCCGCACGAGAUUGAGCAAUAACAGGUCUGUGAUGCCCUUAGAUGUUCUGGGCCGCACGCGCGCUACACUGAAGGAAUCAGCGUGUCCUCCCUGGCCGAGCGG
rnacentral:rRNA from 1 species